AGCGAACGUUAGCGGCGGGCCUAACACAUGCAAGUCGAACGCGAAAGGUCUUCGGACUGAGUAGAGUGGCGCACGGGUGAGUAACACGUAGGUAAUCUACCCUUUGGCGGGGGAUAACGUUCCGAAAGGAGCGCUAAUACCGCAUAAGACCACGGAGUCUCCGGACGCUGUGGGAAAAGGUGGCCUCUUCUUGAAAGCUACCACCGAAGGAUGAGCCUGCGUCCCAUCAGCUAGUUGGUAAGGUAAUGGCUUACCAAGGCGAAGACGGGUAGCUGGUUUGAGAGAAUGAUCAGCCACACUGGCACUGGAACACGGGCCAGACUCCUACGGGAGGCAGCAGUGAGGAAUAUUGGGCAAUGGGCGAAAGCCUGACCCAGCCACGCCGCGUGAGUGAUGAAGGCCCUCGGGUCGUAAAGCUCUGUGGAGAGGGACGAAAACCCUGGUUUCAAAUAGGCUCCAGGCUUGACGGUACCUCUUUAGUAAGCACCGGCUAACUCUGUGCCAGCAGCCGACGG
rnacentral:rRNA from 1 species